rnacentral:lncRNA from 10 species
UCCCUGAGGAAUCGCCACACUGACUUCCACAAUGGUUAACUAGUUUACAGUCCCACCAACAGUGUAAAAGUGUUCCUAUUUCUCCACAUCCUCUCCAGCACCUGUUGUUUCCUGACUUUUUAAUGAUUGCCAUUCUAACUGGUGUAAGAUGAUAUCCCAUUGUGGUUUUGAUUUGCAUUUCUCUGAUGGCCAGUGAUGGUGAGCAUUUUUUCAUGUGUGUUUUGGCUGCAUAAAUGUCUUCUUUCGAGAAGUGUCUGUUCAGGUCCUU